UUUCCGUAGGUGAACCUGCGGAAGGAUCAUUAAUGAGUCGUCAUGGGGUUCGAUGCUGGCAGCCAAUUUUUGGAUGCAUGUGCUUGCCCUAACAAUCAUCUUCCAAACACCUGUGCACAUUUUUGAGGGAGUCUUGAGUUGGUUGCCGCUCUUGGGUGAUUUUCUCACAUUCCCUUAAAUCAUUAUACGCUAUUAACAAUGUUGAACGUGCUCUGUGCCGCAAGGCCAUUAAUAUAAUACAACUUUUAACAACGGAUCUCUUGGCUCUC
rnacentral:misc_RNA from 1 species